rnacentral:rRNA from 1 species
ACCUACGGGGGGCAGCAGUGAGGAAUAUUGGUCAAUGGUCGGGAGACUGAACCAGCCAAGCCGCGUGGGGGAUGAAGGUACAGAGUAUCGUAAACCUCUUUUGUCGGGGAACAAAGGCAGGGACGCGUCCCCGGAUGAGUGUACCUGAAGAAAAAGCAUCGGCUAACUCCGUGCCAGCAGCCGCGGUAAUACGGAGGAUGCGAGCGUUAUCCGGAUUUAUUGGGUUUAAAGGGUGCGCAGGCGGUCUGUUAAGUCAGCGGUCAAAGCCCGGGGCUCAACCCCGGCCCGCCGUUGAAACUGGCAGU